rnacentral:rRNA from 1 species
AUUGAACGCUGGCGGCAUGCCUUACACAUGCAAGUCGAACGGCAGCAUGAUCUAGCUUGCUAGAUUGAUGGCGAGUGGCGAACGGGUGAGUAAUACAUCGGAACGUGCCCUGUAGUGGGGGAUAACUAGUCGAAAGAUUAGCUAAUACCGCAUACGACCUGAGGGUGAAAGUGGGGGACCGCAAGGCCUCAUGCUAUAGGAGCGGCCGAUGUCUGAUUAGCUAGUUGGUGAGGUAAAGGCUCACCAAGGCGACGAUCAGUAGCUGGUCUGAGAGGACGAUCAGCCACACUGGGGAUGAGACACGGCCCCGCCUCCUACGGGAGGCAGCAGGGGGGAAUUUUGGAAAAUGGGCGAAAGCCUGACCCAGCAAUGCCGCGUGUGUGAAGAAGGCCUUCGGGUUGUAAAGCACUUUUGGCCGGAAAGAAAUGGCUCUGGUUAAUACCGGGGGUCGAUGACGGUACCGGAAGAAUAAGGACCGGCUAACUACGU